GAGAACCGGCGGCGAGUCGGAUUUCGAGUAAGAAUUUGAACCGGAAAACAAUCCGAUAAUGGACGUGGUGUUGGAGAGGCAGCUAGGGUUUAUCGAAGCGGAGGUAUCGUAAGGGCUGAGCAGUGAUCUCCAUAGAACUAUCAGGGAGAUUAGAACGAGCCUUGAAAUGAAAGCGUAUUUGAGAACGAGACGAGUGUGGUGAUGAUGGAUAUCGGCGGUGGAUUUUCCGGCCAUUUUACCGGCGGCGGAGAAAGGAGGUUAACGGCGGACGGCAGCUUUAUUUAGGACGCG
rnacentral:misc_RNA from 1 species